ACACUCUGGUUUCUCUUCAGAUCGUAUAAAUUUUCGCCUUUUACUAAAGAUUUCCGUGGAGAGGAACAAUUCUGAGGUCUUAAUAAUUUUUUGAGGCUUUGCUUUAGCAAAGCU
rnacentral:snRNA from 1 species